rnacentral:rRNA from 1 species
GUGCCAGCCGCCGCGGUAAAACGUAGGACGCAAGCGUUAUCCGGAGUUACUGGGCGUAAAGGGCGGGCAGGCGGUCGGUCAAGUGGGGUGUGAAAUCUCGCAGCUUAACUGAGAGAGGCCAUUCCAAACUGGUCGACUGGAGGGCAGUAGAGGUAGGCGGAAUUCCGGGUGGAGUGGUGAAAUGCGUAGAGAUCCGGAGGAACACCAGAGGCGAAGGCGGCCUACUGGGCUGCACCUGACGCUGAACCGCGAAAGCCAGGGGAGCGAACGGGAUUAGAAACCCUUGUAGUCC